UUUACUCUCAGUGAUUUUACUGUGCUGUAUACCUGUCUGCCUUGUCCUCUCACAGAUGUUGCUUUCCCUGCAUAAGACACUGCUGCGCAGCUCAUGAAGCAGCUCCAAACUGCUGCAGUUUCCAGCCUGAAACGCAGAUGGGAAGGAAAUGCAAGACAGCUCAUGAGCAGGGGAGGCAUUAAGGAGCAACUACAGUCAACAGAGCCAAGAAGGAGCCAGGUUGCUUGAAUGGAGAAGACAUGUUCCUUGAGCUGCAGGAAGAAGUGGGAGUUGGGAUUAGAGAUAUGCCCUGCUUCCCACACAACUAUAAGCACGUUGUCUGACCUCUCUUGCCUCACAACAGAGGAGCAAGCCCUUGAUCCAGCUGCAGGCACCAUGUGGUUUGAGAAGUCUCACAUGGGAUAAGCAAAGUGAAAUUCAAAGAGAGAUGAUUAAACAUCCUGUCACGGCUUUUUAUCCUACGAGCUCAACUGGGGACUUGACUGGCAAAAGCUUUGUAUUACUUUGGUGAUCGUCAACAGAUCCCAAUGCCCUGAAAUAACAGCAUAAGACUAAAUCAAGACUGAACAUGCCCCAGAGAAAAUACAUAUACUUCUGCUCUACCAGAAAUUAUGGCUUGCUGCUGCCUAUGGAUAUCACUGUACAAUCUGUUCUAUGCAAGUGGCCAGAAAAGUUGCAGCUCAGCCUUUUCCCAUGACUUACCUGUGAAAAGACAAAGAAUCAGAGGCAGAAAGAGAGAAGCAAAAAGAUCCAAGAAACCAGGACACAAUGAGUGAGAGCCUGAU